UAAAACGACUCUCGGCAACGGAUAUCUCGGCUCUCGCAUCGAUGAAGAACGUAGCGAAAUGCGAUACUUGGUGUGAAUUGCAGAAUCCCGUGAACCAUCGAGUCUUUGAACGCAAGUUGCGCCCCAAGCCGUUAGGCCGAGGGCACGCCUGCCUGGGUGUCACG
rnacentral:rRNA from 1 species